ACUCCUACGGGAGGCAGCAGUGAGGAAUAUUGGACACUGGGUGGAAGCCUGAUCCAGCCAUCCCGCGUGCAGGAAGACGGCCCUAUGGGUUGUAAACUGCUUUUAUCUGGGGAUAAACCUACUUACGUGUAAGUAGCUGAAGGUACCAGAAGAAUAAGCACCGGCUAACUCCGUGCCAGCAGCCGCGGUAAUACGGAGGGUGCAAGCGUUAUCCGGAUUUAUUGGGUUUAAAGGGUCCGUAGGCGGACUGAUAAGUCAGUGGUGAAAUCCGACAGCUUAACUGUCGAACUGCCAUUGAUACUGUUAGUCUUGAGUAAGGUUGAAGUGGCUGGAAUAAGUAGUGUAGCGGUGAAAUGCAUAGAUAUUACUUAGAACACCAAUUGCGAAGGCAGGUCACUAAGUCUUAACUGACGCUGAUGGACGAAAGCGUGGGGAGCGAACAGGAUUAGAAACCCUAGUAGUCCCAU
rnacentral:rRNA from 1 species